rnacentral:rRNA from 1 species
AAUUCGCCCUUGAGCACGUAGGUGGGUUUGUAAGUCAGGUGUGAAAGCCUUCUGUUCAACGGGAGAAUUGCAUCUGAAACUACGUAUCUUGAGUGUAGGAGGGGAGAAUGGAACUUCUGGUGGAGCGGUGAAAUGCGUAGAUAUCAGAAGGAACGCCGGCGGCGAAAGCGAUUCUCUGGCCUAUUACUGACAUUCAGUGUGCGAAAGCUAGGGGAGCAAACGGGAUUAGAUACCCCGGUAGUCCUAGCCGUAAACGAUGGGCACUAAGUAGUGGGAAUUACCGAUGUUCUCUCUGCCGUAGCUAACGCAUUAAGUGCCCCGCCUGGAGAGUACGGCCGCAAGGCUAAAACUCAAAAGAAUUGACGGGGGCUCGCACAAGCGGUGGAGCAUGUGGCUUAAUUCGAUGCAACGCGAAAAACCUUACCGGGGCUUGACAUGUUAGAAGUAGGAACCUGAAAGGGUAACGAACGGUAUCCAGUCCGUAGCUAUCACAGGUGUUGCAUGGCUGUCGUCAGCUCGUGUCGUGAGACGUUGGGUUAAGUCCCCUAACGAGCGAAACCCUUGUUUUUAGUUACCAGCGGGUUGUGCCGGGUACUCUAGAAAGACUGCCGUCGUCAAGACGGAGGAAGGUGGGGAUGACGUCAAGUCAUCAUGGCCCUUAUGCCCCGGGCUGCACACGCGCUACAAUAGUCGGUACAAACGGAAGCGAAGCCGAGAGGUGAAGCGAAUCCAAGGGCGAAUU